GGGCCCGUAGCUCAGUGGCAGAGCGGACGGCUCAUAACCGUUUGGUCGUAGGUUCGAUCCCUACCGGGCCCA
rnacentral:tRNA from 1 species